CCUACGGGUGGCAGCAGUAGGGAAUUUUGCGCAAUGGGGGAAACCCUGACGCAGCAACGCCGCGUGAUCGAUGAAGCCCUUCGGGGUGUAAAGUUCUGUCAGUGGGGACGAAACUUGACGGUACCCACAGAGGAGGCACCGGCUAACUCCGUGCCAGCAGCCGCGGUAUUACGGGGGGUGCAAGCGUUGUCCGGACUCAUUGGGGGUAAGGAGUGCGUAGGUGGCACUGUAGGUCUGAUGUUAAAGGCGGAAGCUCAACUUCCGUAGGGCACUGGAUACUGGCGAGCUUGAAUGCGGUAGAGGUAAGUGGAAUUCCUGGUGUAGCGGUGAAAUGCGUAGAUAUCAGGAGGAACAUCGGUGGCGUAAGCGCUUUACUGGGCCGUAAUUGACACUGAGGAACGAAAGCCGGGGUAGCAAAUGGGAUUAGAUACCCGAGUAGUC
rnacentral:rRNA from 1 species